GGGUAAAAUAUGUGAUUAAACUAUAGCAUAACAAUUCAAUUUCUUUGCCAAGCAGGUAGGCAGAAGGAUGAAAAUAAGUGGCAAGGUAGAGAUGAACAGUCAUAUUACUUUGUGAUUUGAGCUGCUGGUAGAGGAAAACAUAUAUCCUUGGAACCAAGGUAAGAAAGUAUUGAUAGAUGUGGAGGAGGGAGCCGAACAAGGAAUCCAGUGUUUUUUUUCUCAGCUGUCUCUUCAGCAAUGCACUUUCCCCUUAUUGUGCCACACUUCCAACAUUGGAAAGACCUGUGGGAAGCCACAACCUGUCCUUUUUCUUAUACCACCUGUCCCAGGUGAAUCUGUAUUAGAGGCACUAAAUGCAGGAAGGAAUGGAGCAGGUAUCUACCUCAUGCAAUAUAGUGAUUGUUACUUAGAAGAACAUGGAUAGCACGGUCCUCUGAACGUGGGGGAUUAUGGGCGUUCUUGGAGGGUGGAAGGAGCUCAGAGGUGGUCCUCCUGCCCUGAAAACACUUGGGUGGCCCAUUUCAAUGUACUAAGUACUUUGCCUUGGAGUGUGAGGGAAGGAGGAGAAGGUGCUACACGAAUACUUUGAUCCGGGAGGCUGAGCUUGUCUCUCCCCCUUUUAUGACCUUGGAGUUUUAGCCAGCAAGGUUCCUUCCAUGCUGGCAGGAAGAACUUUGAGUCCUAGCUCUGACCUCAAAGGAUAUUUCUGAAUUUGGAAAUGUUGUCAUGCAAAGUUCUUCAAUAUUUACAGACAUUCAUGUUUUAAUUAACUGCCUGCCUCUUGGAAUUUAAUGUAAGGUCAGUACAAAUGAACCUCUUUGGCAGCUAGAAGACUAAUAUUAGUUUCCAAAGCUGGAGCUGGGACUCCCAAAUAUCCUACUGUUACCCAAACUGGGAAACCUCAUAAAGUGAUGAGUUUGCCUUGUGUGCCUGACCAACAACAAGCCAGUUGAGAUGACUCUUCAGAAGGAGGCAGCUGUACUACAGGAGAAAAGGGGACUACACACACACAAGCAAGCCAAGGUUACAUGCAGCACCUUCCCAAACAGUGCAGGUUUCUAACUUUUAUGCUGCUGGAUAAAGAGUCUAUUCUCCCUCCCUCUGCUCCAUCCAUUGUUCUAGUGGAAUGCUCUUGCUUUAGCCUCGGCUGUCUCCAACCUUUCUCAGCUGCUCCUUCCUCACCUCCCUUGGUAUUUGGGAGGGAUCACUUCCUUAGUUUACACGGGGGUCGGCAUCAUGAUUCAGCCCACAACUGGGACCUGAAUAUGUCUUAACAGCACAGAUUGAACUAGUCCAACGAUGGUUGCAAGGGACACAGUCUUUCUGAUUUCUCUGUAGUCCAUUUGGUGAAGUCCACAUGUACAAGUGACAUUUGUGCUGCUUGAAUUUCACUAGGUCAUAUGGCAACGACAAGCAUGAAUCAAGUGUGGAAAAACAAGAACAUCAGCUUGGCAACCAAAUGGAGAUAGGGCCAAGUGAUCGUUUUCCCUAUUGCAACCUUACAGUUGUCACAGUUGGACAAUGAAAAGGUUAGACAAGAGGGAAAUUGACUCAUUCAAACUGUGGUGUUGCUGGAGGCUCCUGUGCAUUCCAUGGACAGCGGGAGUCAUGAACAAGCAGCUUCUGGAGCAUAUUAAACCAGAUGCAUCCCUGGUUGGCAAGAUAACAAAACUGAGGCUCUUGUAUUUUGGCCACUUUAUUGGCCAUUGGUAUCAAGCUCAUUGGUAAAAGAUAUAGUGCUUGGAAUGCUCAGUGGCAAGAGAAAACCAGGUUUCCAAAGAGCAAAGUGGUUAGAUGUUAUCAAAACAGAUACGGGCCAGAGUAUAGUUCAGCUGAAAGAGGUGACACGGGAUUGAUAAAUGUGGUGAGAUUUGGCCCAUAGGAUGGCCUAUAGUUGGACACAAACGAACAGCUGAACAACAACAACAACAAUAACAGUCAUCACUGUGUACAUGACAAGUUGGAGUGCCUCUUGAGGUUUAUGAUUAGGAGUAUUAGCCUAUAAUUAUGGCGGUCUGUACUCUGUCUGCUGGCCAUAGAAUUGCGCCCUAAUGAAUUAAAUUUCUGUAUGGAAUGAUUAAGCAGAUUUUAAAAGAGUAGAUGAAUAGUAAAAUCUCCAUUUGGUCAGAGGAGGGGGUAGAAUGGCAUUUAUGUAGUUUGGCUGAUGAGCCAUAUAGAAAUGUAAUAAAGAAAUAAAAUAAAAAUUACCACUAUUUCUCAGAGAUCUAUGUAAGGAUACUAACACAAUAAUGCUGAACACAGACACUAGCAGCCAGUGGGGUUUUUGGUAUACAAACUCCAGAGUAUAAGUCAUAUAUCUGAAUAAUGGUCAUUUCUUAAUUGUUAUAUGCUGUUUCUCAGCCUCAUAUACCCCCCUCCAAAUCCCAGUUCACAACAUAGUAAGCAGUAGCAAUAAUAGUUGAAAAACAAACCAUUAAAAACACUAAAAAUACCAACAGUAUUAACAAACCUCUAGGGGUACAGAAGCAGAAGCAGAACAUCUCAACAAAAAUGUGUUAACAUUCUUUCAGAAGGCUGGGAAGAGAAGAAUUAAAAUGAGGACUCUGAGGGAUGGCGUCUCAGAGUUCAGGAGUCACCACAAGAAGGGCCCUGUUCAGCUAACACACCAAGCGUGCCUGAGGCAGGGGCAGCAUGUGAGACAGAGCAAAUGGAAAGAGGCGCAUGAGAGGUGGAAGUCUUUCAUAUACCCCAGACCAAAACCAUUAGCUCUCCUGCCAGUUCCCAGGAAGCAUGCAUGUGGGAUUGUGACCAGCCCUAGAGACAGAGUGGACUAUUCUGGUAAAAAUCUUUGAACAUCUCGAGUUGCUGGGAAAUUUCUAACUUUUUCUUUCCUGCUGGAGGAAACGUUUUAUUGGGAUUAAAAAAAUGAAAGAAAAAUCUUCCUCUUCCUUCCAAGCUGAGGUUAUGCUUUGGUUUGAGGCAACCUCAUUUAUAAAUGUAUUAUUCAUCUUCCUGAAAUGAUUUCUACACACAGUGACGCUGGUUCUUUAAUAAUGUGGUAUCCGACAUGUUAUGGAUUGUAUGGGUAAUAAAUGCUGAACAGAUGACACUGAGAAUGACAAAGAAUGCUAAGGCAAGAUGAUACAAUUUCAAAGAGAUAAAAUGGAGAAGAGAAAGACUAUGGGAGCCAGUUCCU